rnacentral:rRNA from 1 species
AGUGAACGCUGGCGGUAGGCCUAACACAUGCAGGUCGAACGGCAGCACAGUAAGAGCUUGCUCUUACGGGUGGCGGGUGGCGGACGGGUGAGGAAUACAUCGGAAUCUACUUUUUCGUGGGGGAUAACGUAGGGAAACUUACGCUAAUACCGCAUACGACCUACGGGUGAAAGCAGGGGAUCUUCGGACCUUGCGCGAUCGAAUGAGCCGAUGUCGGAUUAGCUAGUUGGCGGGGUAAAGGCCCACCAAGGCGACGAUCCGUAGCUGGUCUGAGAGGAUGAUCAGCCACACUGGAACUGAGACACGGUCCAGACUCCUACGGGAGGCAGCAGUGGGGAAUAUUGGACAAUGGGCGCAAGCCUGAUCCAGCCAUACCGCGUGGGUGAAGAAGGCCUUCGGGUUGUAAAGCCCUUUUGUUGGGAAAGAAAAGCAGCAGGUUAAUACCCCGCUGUUCCGACGGUACCCAAAGAAUAAGCACCGGCUAACUUCGUG